rnacentral:lncRNA from 1 species
CAAGCAGUACUACUGAGAAACAUUACUUAAAAGUCAUAAGAUGAUAAAUUAUAAUCCUCACGGUUUCACCAUGUGUAAGAUGGCCGUUUGUUAGUCCAGACCUGCACCCAGCAUAAUGCUGAAAAACCGUAUUGUCUUUCCUCAGUGGGAUGUUUCUUCCACCACAAAGGCUGUUUUGGAUUGUGAUGAACUGUUAUCGGCAGCAAGUUUUGGCAUUUUACUCACAGAAACCCCAGGAACUCUACAGACUGUUCUCGGUCUGGACACAUGUGACUCUUGCCUUGCCCAUACAGGUCAGUUUUAAGAAAUGUAUGCACCAAAUUCCCCACGUUCCAGAAACACUGACCUUACGGGACGUCAUUUGUUCUUUUGCAGCAAAUGCAAUGUACCUGAGAAACACUGGGCCAACUGCCCAUGUGCAACACAAUGAAUUAGAGGUGUACUUCUGUCCAGCAACUCCAAAUAGAAAUCUGCUCGCCGUAAGUAUAGACGGAAGGAGAGGAGAAAGCGACUGUUCUUCGUCCUGAGGGUUCACACAUCAGCGACGCAAAACCUGCCGGCCACAGUGCCUAAAUACAGUAAUGCUGUUAUCGCACCUACUCACGGGAAGCCAUGCUUACUUUACACAAAGCCAUCUCAUAACCGUUACGUUUCUAGUAAACGCCAUUAGGUAAUAGCCUGGAUAUUCAGUUUUACCCUUGCUGUAACUCAAAGGUGCCCAUUUCCAGCUGAGCAGCUUCUCCAAAAUGUACAUGUAGAGUUUUACCCUUGCUGUAACUCAAAGGUUUGAAGCCAAUUUCCAGCUGAUCGAAGACUUCCCUUAUUCCGUACUGUAAACCAGCUGAGUGCCUGCUCAAAGCCUUUUGAAAUCAGUGAAAGACUGUACGUCUCACUGAUUUCAAACAGAUUGGAGUACGGCCCUGCUGGAGUCUGCUCUUGCCUAGCUGAUCAGCAAUAGCUGCUCCACCUCACAGUGAUGGAUAGGCCCUCCCUGUAGGUGGUGUGGGACCCUUUCACGUGUCAGUACAAGUCAGUAUUUAUUUCACACCCACGAUACUGAUAAAUGCAACCUGUUUAGAGUAAUGCCAUUUUUACAGUGGUCUUUCCAACCUGGAUGCUGAGUAUCUCAAGACAGCAUAACCCCAUCUUUAAAGAAAUAAUUACUUACAUCUGAACCGUUACCAUUAUCACAGCCACGAACAAGACAAUUUGAAAACAGAAAUACUGUUUGGAGAACAGUGUACCGAGUAUGCGGAUCUUAAUAAUCUGAUCCAAUAAAUAUCAUGGUUUGAUGUAUAUUCA